UAUAUACGCGUGGGGAAUCAAACCAGAAACUACAUCCCGUCUACGAGAAUUCGUAGAGGCAGUUGCUCCCUUUUAUGUGUAUCUCGAAACUAGGGUCUCCAGAGGUCGAUUUGUCAAAAGUAGCCCCGAUCAUUUUUCACAUUAUGUGAUUAAAAACUGGCCUCCACUUGCACAAUUGUUAUCAGGAAAAAAAAAUUAAAUCCAUCCUCUAAUGGACACGAACAAAGUUUUCUUGCUUCCAUUACAUAUUAAAUCGUAUUUGAUGAAGGAUUUGUAAAAUCACUUCCAAAAGAGGGUGAUUUUUACCUUAAUUUUAAGGUAAAAUAAUUUUCACUUCAAAAUUAAGUAUGCCUAGGAUAAACAUU